rnacentral:rRNA from 1 species
AGUGAACGCUGGCGGUAGGCCUAACACAUGCAAGUCGAACGGCAGCACAGUAAGAGCUUGCUCUUACGGGUGGCGAGUGGCGGACGGGUGAGGAAUACAUCGGAAUCUACUUUUUCGUGGGGGAUAACGUAGGGAAACUUACGCUAAUACCGCAUACGACCUACGGGUGAAAGCAGGGGAUCUUCGGACCUUGCGCGAUUGAAUGAGCCGAUGUCGGAUUAGCUAGUUGGCGGGGUAAAGGCACACCAAGGCGACGAUCCGUAGCUGGUCUGAGAGGAUGAACAGACACACUGGAACUGAGACACGGUCCAGACUCCUACGGGAGGCAGCAGUGGGGAAUAUUGGACAAUGGGCGCAAGCCUGAUCCAGCCAUACCGCGUGGGUGAAGAAGGACUUCGGGUUGUAAAGCCCUUUUGUUGGGAAAGAAAAGCAGCAGGUUAAUACCCCGCUGUUCUGACGGUACCCAAAGAAUAAGCACCGGCUAACUUCGUG